ACAUGCCUACAACAUAGCCUUAAUGCACCGGAUCCAUUAGAACUCCAUAGUUAAGUGUGCUCGGGCUAGAGUAGUACUAGGAUGGGUGACUGUCGGGGAAGUCCUAGUAUUUUACAUGCC
rnacentral:rRNA from 1 species